UGUAACUAGCAAUCUCGUACCUUUUUCUCAAGUAGAAGCAAUUUUACUAAAACAAGAGCCUGAAAUUGAAGCAAAAUCUUAUUAAAACAGUGCAAUUUAUAUCUAAGCCCAAAUAUUUAUUAUGGACGUAAAAAACAUCAUUUACCAUCCUUUAAAUAUAUUUCUUAAAAACAAUUGGCUCCUUACCACUGACAUUUGCUAAAUGCGUUGGAAAACUUCGACUUUAAUGCAGAAAUACAGCUUAGAAAACCAUUAUCUUAACGUAUAUUCCGGCCUCAAUGAAUAAUAUAUAAUGAAAAGUCGCCAAACAUCAUUAUUUCUCAACAAAGUACUUUCAAAACUGGUGCGUAAAUUAAGUCGCACUCUGUUCGCAAACAGUCAUACCUUUUGCUUUAAUUUCAGAACAAGGUCACCGACGUUCAGCCCUAAAAAUUUGACAAAAUCAGAUGAAAAGGUUCACUGUUGAUGGCCUAACGAAAAUAAAGACAUACAGGAAAAAGUACAUGGAUAAACUACAUAGGAUGGAUAAAAAUGCAUAGAUAAACAAUACAGGAGGCAUUUUUGCGCAAACGAGAAACAUUUUACAACACCAAAGAAGAAAACAACUGGUAAGGGAGUAAUGAAACAGUUUUUGGAAUUUAUUGCUAGAAUCUACAAAGUGUAAAUCUCUCCUAUGCUUUCUCAUUUGCGCUUCACUAGCAAAACAAAGGUUUUACCCCGCCUGCUAUAAUAUCAGUCGCUUUACAAGUUUGGUUUAAGCAGGAUGUCUUACUAAAGAGCCUGAUACCCAGAUUAUUGGUCAGUUUCCAUGAAGUUGACCAAUGGGGUUUAGCGGCUGAGCUGAGAUGAACACCAGUUGUUCAAAUAGCAGUGCAGUUCUUAAGACAAAAUACCACUAAUGUUCUGGAGCAUAUCUCCCAACAAUAAUACUAGAAACAGGCGUGAAACAGGUUUGAACCUGAUGUCUAAGUUUACUGAUGAAAAAUCGAUGACUCUUUUAGUAAGGUUUUUGCCUAUGCAUAGCAUAAUGAAGUUUGGUGACUUAUUAUUUAGCCAAUCCAUGAAAAUAUUAUCUGUUUCGCUACUUCAUGCUACAUCCAUAUAACAUUACAACAAAACAUAGUUAUUUUUCAACAGAGUUAUGCACAGCCCCUGAGCCCAAUAGAUUAUCACCAUAAACCAAAAAUCCAAUUUAAAUUCAAAUGCGAGAGCACGGAAUUCAAUUCAAUGUUGAGAUCACCAAACGUAGAUCUACAGCAAGCAACACUACGGCAACUUUGAUUCAUAAAAUUACAUUAAUCGGCAACACUUACCAACAAGGUACAUUGAAUCGUUGAUGUUGGAAAAGGAGAGAGAUUGAUUUAACGCAGUGUAGGCAUCCUGGGAAAGAGGCAAGAUAGAAAUGAGUUUCAUCGCCAUUUCUGUAGAGGAAAAACAAAUCUCAUUGUCAUGUAGAGGCUAAACAGAUGGCGGGAAAGCUGACGGCUGAUGGCGCUGACGCCAACUGAAAAGUAACAAAGUAUUUUCAAGUCAUUAAAGGAUGUUCGAUCUUUCAGAGCUGUACACGAGUGGCGAUUCGGCUUCAAUACAUUUCUUUAAGCCAUGGUGGGACCUGAUCAUUGAAUAUUUGAACAUGGGGAUGUUUCUCUUCACACUGAUUGCAUUUGCCAAUGUUACUUUGGUUGAAGGCGAAGGCAUUAUCUGUUUGGGGAAAGAAAAAACAUACUCCUGGCCGCAGAUCAAAUAUCUCAAUUCGAAGUGUGCGUAUUCUUUCACUGGCAAAUUCCUGGUCCAUUACCCGUAUGCUUUGUUUGUCGAAUGGGCCUUGCUGAGUUGCAUUCAUAGCGCUUGGCUCAGGCAUCCAGCUAUCUUUUCGAAAUUCGACGCGUUUUACUCAAUCUUCAAAGAGAUGUGCACUGUAAAACCAAAAUACUACAGAAACCCGAACACGUUUCAGAUGGCUUCUGAGCUCACAUUUGAUUCGCAUAACAAAGACAAAAUCGAUAUCCUGCAUAACAAACUACUGUAUCUGAUGACAGAACAAAGCUAUCUCUUGACUACCUACAAAGUUAAGACAUUGGUCCUUCUAGUCGCCGGUUUAGGCAGUACGGUCUCUGUAUUCACCACAAUAUACUUCAUAUGGAGCUUUCCUGUCAAUUUUGAAUGCUAUUUCGAAACAGAAGGUAUAGGGGUUGACUUUGACGACGUUGGUUGCAACUUGUC